GUCUUCGGCCAUAUCACGUUGAAAACACCGGUUCUCGUCCGAUCACCAAAGUUAGGCAACGUCGAGCCCGGUUAGUACUUGGAUGGGUGACCGCCUGGGAAUACCGGGUGCUGUAGGCU
rfam:Helobdella robusta unplaced genomic scaffold HELROscaffold_93, whole genome shotgun sequence.